UAACUUUGAUGAGUCAAUCUCCUCUUCGAACUUUGAGGAGGCGCUGCGGCUCUGGUUGAGGUAGUGGCUGCGGAGCCGCAGUCAAGAUAGGAUUUUGUGGGAGCACCACUGUAGAAGGUACAGGCAACACCACUGAAAAAAUUGUAUAAUGCACCAUCGUAAGGGGUGCAGGGACAACCUGAGGAGAUUGUGGUGUCUCUUGAAAGGGUGCG
rnacentral:lncRNA from 1 species